rnacentral:rRNA from 1 species
UUGAACGCUGGCGGCAUGCCUUACACAUGCAAGUCGAACGGUAGAGUAGCAAUACUCGAGAGUGGCGAACGGGUGAGUAAUAUAUCGGAACGUGCCCAGUCGUGGGGGAUAACGUAGAGAAAUUUACGCUAAUACCGCAUACGAUCUAAGGAUGAAAGCGGGGGACUCGCAAGGGCCUCGCGCGAUUGGAGCGGCUGAUGUCGGAUUAGCUGGUUGGUGGGGUAAAGGCCUACCAAGGCGACGAUCCGUAGCUGGUCUGAGAGGAUGAUCAGCCACACUGGGACUGAGACACGGCCCAGACUCCUACGGGAGGCAGCAGUGGGGAAUUUUGGACAAUGGGCGCAAGCCUGAUCCAGCCAUGCCGCGUGAGUGAAGAAGGCCUUCGGGUUGUAAAGCUCUUUCAGACGGAAAGAAAUCGGGCGGGUGAAUAGCCUGCCUGGAUGACGGUACUGUCAGAAGAAGCACCGGCUAACUACGU